GAGGCAAAGGGAUGGGACAGCCAGCUCCAUGCAGGGCACCAGGCAGCUCCAUAAGCCAGUACGGGGUGAGCUGCCCAAGACCCUGUCUCUUUUUCACACGUUGGGUGACUUGCUCCUCCAGGGGCACACAGAUGUGGCCUCGAGGAACACCCCCCACACGCCAGCUGAGCAUCUCCGCCAGAUAAGAAAAGAGACAAAGCAAAGAAGACAUGUUCCGGGAGGUACCGCACUUCUCCAGUGCAGAGAAAAGGGAACACAAGGAGUUGAAGGAAGCCGAAAGUCAAGACAGACAAGAAAAUCAGGAGUUUAAGAAUGAUACUGAGCAGAUGAUUAAAGUCUUGGAGGACCAACGCAAAUGCUGAAGUCCUUAAUAAUGCUACAAACUGAGCAGAUGCGCGCCCUCUCCUGCAGCGCAUUCAGAACUCUUUUCCAUGCCCCUCUACCCCAAACUCCGCCUGCACAGUCCUUUCCACUUUCCAGGACUUCUCGGUUUCCCCUUCACUCCACCCCCUCAGACAACUUUCAAAAUGAUAGCUGGACCUACACACAGUCUGAAAGUCUGCCCUUCCCUGGUAACUCCUUUCCCACCAAGCAUCUUCGUGUGUGUGUUUGUUUGUUGUGCAAUAAAGCAAAAAUUUUGAACGGUAA